rnacentral:rRNA from 1 species
UUGACGUGAAAGCUCCGAGCUCAUCUCGGAAAUGCNUGAGACUAUCUGCCUAGAGGAUAGAGGGGAGAUUGAAUUCUCGGUGUAGCAGUAGAUGCGUAGAUGUCGAGAGGAACACCAGUGGCGAAAGGGAGUGUCUGGACUAUUCCUGGCAUGCGGCGUAUAUAAUCAUGGGAGCAAACGGGAUUAGAUACUCCGGUAGUGUUGGCUGUAAACGGUGCGCACUUCAGUGAGUGGAUUCGACCUCGCUCGUGUGUAGUUAACUGGAUAAGUGCGCCUCCUGGGAAGUACGGUGUCAAGAUUUAAUCUAAGCAAUUGGCGCGGGCCAGCACAAGCGGAGGAGUAUGUGUCUUAAUUCGAUGCAACGUGAAGAACCUUACUUAGCCUUGACAUGCAAAUAGUGGAAGCCUGAAAGGGUGGCGAGGUAGCAAUACCAGUUUGCACAGGGGUUACAUGACUGUCGUCAGCUCGUGUCGUGAGAUGUAGGGUUAAGUCCCGCAACGAGUGCAACCCUUGGGUCCUGUUGCCCCCCAGGCAUUAGAGGGGAGCGGUUUGGACGGACUGCCUCGUUUCACCCAGGAGGAAGGUGGGGGAGUCGUCAAGUCAGUAUGGCCUUUGCGCCUAGGGCUUCACACGAGAUGCAAUGCCGAAUACAAAGGGGGGCGACCCGGCGUCGGGGAGCAAAUCCUAAAAAUCGGGCCCAGUUCA